rnacentral:lncRNA from 1 species
CUCCCAAUCAGAAGCUUACAUUAAUCAGAAUAAAUUUCCCCAUUAUAGGAACAUCAGUUUUAAUUAAAAGACAUCUUGCUGAGCAGCUAUAUAAAAGAUAAACAUGGUAGAACAAUUUAAGAUACAAAGAAAUCUGCAAACAGUUUAAGUUAUUGUGUCAACGUUACUUUUGGUUUUACCUCAUUACCUUAAAUGAUAAAUUGCAACUUGAUGACUGAGGAAGGAAUCAAAUUUUCAGCAGGAAAUCCCUUAAUACUAGUGGCUAUUAAAAGUAGCUAUAAUGAAACAGAUUUCCUAAGUAAUGUAUAAGAAAUGCAGAAAAGCAUCAUAUUUCCUCUCAAAUGAAAUGAAAGUUGAUCAAUAAUCCUUUUAUGGGGCGUAAACUCCAUCUCGGCAAAUCCCUCAUCACCUUUGGCAAAUGCGACUGACCCUCUAUAAAGUUCUGUCAGAUUGCACUUCAGGCCAUCUUGUUUGCUUCUGCCUGCAGAUUCAGACAGCAGCGUUUAAGGAGCCAGCCAGGCUGAUGACUCAGCUCAUAAAACAAUGUGUGGCCACAAAGAUGAUGUUUAUCCAGGAGCAUUCUGGAGGCUCUUGCUACCGAAGCCGGCAAGCUGUGGGUAUGUGGUACACGAUGCUCAUUCUCCCAGGAGUUUCUGCAGCCGUGACAAAGCAGCACUCCCCAGCUGCAACUCUCCCAGCAGUGGAUCUCACACGAUGCUCUCCCUAAACAGAAAGAUUUCAUUCUGUGUAAAUUGUAUCUCAAAAAUGAACUCCAGAAGCCACAUACUUCAGCAGAACAGACUCAAACAGUGAGAUGCCCUCAUGAGAACCAGGUCAUGAACAUCCUGUAGCUCCCUCUUGGAUGUUGUCUGGAAGGACAAGAAAAAUCAAGACUGG